GACAAACGCUGGCGGCGUGCCUAAUACAUGCAAGUCGAGCGGACAGAAGGGAGCUUGCUCCCGGAAGUUAGCGGCGGACGGGUGAGUAACACGUGGGCAACCUACCCUGUAGAUCGGGAUAACAUCGAGAAAUCGGUGCUAAUACCGGAUAAUCAUUUGAAGUGCAUGCUUCGAAUGUAAAAGAUGGCUCCGGCUAUCACUACGGGAUGGGCCCGCGGCGCAUUAGCUAGUUGGUAAGGUAAUGGCUUACCAAGGCAACGAUGCGUAGCCGACCUGAGAGGGUGAUCGGCCACACUGGGACUGAGACACGGCCCAGACUCCUACGGGAGGCAGCAGUAGGGAAUCUUCCGCAAUGGACGAAAGUCUGACGGAGCAACGCCGCGUGAGUGAUGAAGGUUUUCGGAUCGUAAAGCUCUGUUGUUAGGGAAGAACAAGUGCCGUUUGAAUAAGGCGGCACCUUGACGGUACCUACCAGAAAGCCACGGCUAACUACGUGCCAGCCGCCGCAGUAACAC
rnacentral:rRNA from 1 species